rnacentral:rRNA from 1 species
GACAGAGGGUGCAAACGUUGUUCGGAAUUACUGGGCGUAAAGCGCGUGUAGGCGGCCAACUAAGUCGGGCGUGAAAUCCCACGGCUCAACCGUGGAAGUGCACUCGAAACUGGAUGGCUAGAGUCCUGGAGAGGAAGGUGGAAUGCUUGGUGUAGAGGUGAAAUUCGUAGAUAUCAAGCGGAACACCGGUGGCGAAGGCGGCCUUCUGGACAGUGACUGACGCUGAGACGCGAAAGCGUGGGAGCA